rnacentral:lncRNA from 1 species
CCAAACUCAUAUAAAUUAACUUGUAUAUUGAUCAAAAUGUACCCAACCAGACAAAUACAUAAAUAUAGAGAUAAAUUCAGAGAAUCAAAAUGUACAUUAUAAACAAGUAAUCAAAUUACAUAUAAUCCCUACACUAUUGAUAAGUUAUCCUAGAGUUAUAAAAAUUUACGAAAUAUGUGGACCAAGAAUGUCUCACAUAUGACAUGGCUUCCGAAUUCAUGGGUAUUUCUUCCGUGAAUAACUGCAUUGCAAAAUAUAGUUGACAUAAAUUAGUUUUUAGAUACAUAUAUGUUCAAAAAUUAUAAAAAUGAUUUAACAUAUCAUGUUACCUCUUUCCAACUAGUUUUAACACCUAGUCUUAUGAUGGUAAUCAUCCAUUGCAUAAUGUAAUAGCCACACUCAUAGCUUCCUGGUUGUUUAUUACACUAUAAUUCAAUAA